CUCGAGGCCAGAUCUAGAGUUUGAUCCUGGCUGAGAACGAACGCUGGCGGCAGGCCUAACACAUGCAAGUCGAGCGAUGAAGCACCUUCGGGUGUGGAUUAGCGGCGGACGGGUGAGUAACGCGUGGGAACGUGCCCUGGGGUACGGAACAACCAUUGGAAACGAUGGCUAAUACCGUAUGACGUCUUCGGACCAAAGAUUUAUCGCCCUGGGAUCGGCCCGCGUUGGAUUAGCUAGAUGGUGGGGUAAUGGCCUACCAAGGCUGCGAUCCAUAGCUGGUUUGAGAGGAUGAUCAGCCACACUGGGACUGAGACACGGCCCAGACUCCUACGGGAGGCAGCAGUGGGGAAUCUUGGACAAUGGGGGCAACCCUGAUCCAGCCAUGCCGCGUGAGCGAUGAAGGCCUUAGGGUUGUAAAGCUCUUUCACCGGUGAAGAUAAUGACGGUAGCCGGAGAAGAAGCCCCGGCUAACUCCGUGCCAGCAGCCGCGGUAAUACGGAGGGGGCUAGCGUUGUUCGGAAUUACUGGGCGUAAAGCGCGCGUAGGCGGAUUGUUAAG
rnacentral:rRNA from 1 species